AAUUUUUCAUCAUAAGCGGAGGAAAAGAAACCAACAGGGAUUGCCUCAGUAACGGCGAGUGAAGCGGCAACAGCUCAAAUUUUAAAGCUGGCGUCUUCGACGCCCGCGUUGUAAUUUGGAGAGGCAUCUUCGGUUUGGGCGCCAGCCUAUGUUCCUUGGAACAGGACGUCACAGAGGGUGAGAAUCCCGUGCUUGGCUGGCUGUCCCUUGCCAUGUGAAGUGCCUUCGACGAGUCGAGUUGUUUGGGAAUGCAGCUCAAAAUGGGUGGUAAAUUCCAUCUAAAGCUAAAUAUUGGCGGGAGACCGAUAGCGCACAAGUAGAGUGAUCGAAAGAUGAAAAGCACUUUGAAAAUAGAGUUAAAAAGUACGUGAAAUUGUUGAAAGGGAAGCGCUUGAGACCAGACUCGGCCGGAGAUGAUCAGCCGUCCUUCUGGGCGGUGCACUUGUCUCCGGUCGGGCCAGCAUCGGUUGAGACGGCGGGAUAAAGGCCCGGGGAAUGUGGCUCCUUUCGGGGAGUGUUAUAGCCCCGGACGCAAUGCCGCCAGCCUCGACCGAGGACCGCGCUUUUUGCUAGGAUGCUGGCGUAAUGGUCUUCAGCGACCCGUCUUGAAACACGGACCAAGGAGUCUAACAUCUAUGCGAGUGUUUGGGUGUCAAACCCUUGCGCGUAAUGAAAGUGAACGGAGGUGGGAACCCCCUCGCGGGGCGCACCAUCGACCGGUCCUGAUGUCUUCGGAUGGAUCUGAGUAGGAGCAUAGCUGUUGGGACCCGAAAGAUGGUGAACUAUGCCUGAAUAGGGUGAAGCCAGAGGAAACUCUGGUGGAGGCUCGCAGCGGUUCUGACGUGCAAAUCGAUCGUCAAAUUUGGGUAUAGGGGCGAAAGAC
rnacentral:rRNA from 1 species